rnacentral:lncRNA from 1 species
UGUCACUAAGCCCACGGUUCCAACCUUGCUUAAACCUAACACAGAGUGAUUCUGUGUUGUACUUUUUAAAGGAGGGAAAAGUCUUCAAGACUUGAACAAGGAAUCUGGAUCAUCAGUCAAGAUGGUAGGAGAAGUCUAGGAGUCAAAGAGUCUGCUACUUCAUGCAAAUCAUUGCAAAACUCCCCACAGUGUGAUCCAAAUGCUGUUUGUCAGUGUGCCAGUCCAGCCCUUCUCUUCUCAGACGUGGGGACAGGGGAGAGGCUGGCGUGGAGUGGUGUCUGAUGAGACUCGUCACAAUGAACAGACCUUGUUAAUAUCAUCCAAUGCAGAAAUCCCUGUGUUAAACACUGGGGAAAAUAUAAAGAAGAGGAAGUUCAGAUUACAUAAAGAAAAUUCCUUUUCGCCGAUCACAAUUAGUGUACUACGUGACCUGGGAGACGUUAUGUCACAUCCCUCAUCUGUUUUCUUUUGA